UAGAGUUUGAUCAUGGCUCAGGAUGAACGCUGGCGGCGUGCCUAACACAUGCAAGUCGAGCGAUUCUCCUCGGAGAAGAGCGGCGGAUGGGUGAGUAACGCGUGGGUAACCUGCCCUGUACACACGGAUAACAUACCGAAAGGUAUGCUAAUACGAGAUAAUAUGCUUUUAUCGCAUGGUAGAAGUAUCAAAGCACCGGCGGUACAGGAUGGACCCGCGUCUGAUUAGCUAGUUGGUAAGGUAACGGCUUACCAAGACGACGAUCAGUAGCCGACCUGAGAGGGUGAUCGGCCACAUUGGAACUGAGACACGGUCCAAACUCCUACGGGAGGCAGCAGUGGGGAAUAUUGCACAAUGGGCGAAAGCCUGAUGCAGCAACGCCGCGUGAGCGAUGAAGGCCUUCGGGUCGUAAAGCUCUGUCCUCAAGGAAGAUAAUGACGGUACUUGAGGAGGAAGCCCCGGCUAACUACGUGCCAGCAGCCGCGGUAAUACGUAGGGGGCUAGCGUUAUCCGGAAUUACUGGGCGUAAAGGGUGCGUAGGUGGUUUCUUAAGUCAGAGGUGAAAGGCUAC
rnacentral:rRNA from 1 species